GAAAGAACGUUUUUUUGUACUUCAUCUUCAGCAUAUCUAGGUUUUAAUCCACCAGAGGAUUAAAGAUACAGUUUGUGUCCUUUCAGAUUUCAAAGUAAAAAGAAAGCUAACUACUGCUGAACUGAAUGUACUCUCUACUACUCAAGAUACUCCCAUACUCCGUCUACAGGCAGGACAUGUAUAGCUUUUGACCUGCCUUCGAGAACAUUCUCUGGAAAACUG